CGUGAGCCAGGUCGGUUUCUAUCCUUAUUUUUUGUUUAUAUUUUAGUACGAAAGGACCAAGUAUUUUAAAUAAUUUAUUUUAUUUUUGAUUAUUAAUA
rnacentral:rRNA from 1 species